UACGUCGGGGGCAAGCGUUGUCCGGAUUUACUGGGCGUAAAGAGCUUGUAGGCGGCCAAGCAGGUCCGUUGUGAAAACUGGAGGCUUAACCUCCAGACGUCGACGGAAACCGCGUGGCUAGAGUCCGGAAGAGGAGAGUGGAAUUCCUGGUGUAGCGGUGAAAUGCGCAGAUAUCAGGAAGAACACCAGUGGCGAAGGCGAGUCCCUGGACAAACCCUGACACUGAGGCACGAAAGCCAAGUGAGCAAACAGG
rnacentral:rRNA from 1 species